UAUAAUCCACAGCACAAUCCAACGAAUUUGCCAGAAAUUAAAACCAGAAGAAAAAAUCCAAAACCAGGAGACAAAUACACUGAAUCAAUAAGACCUUGUGAAUGAAAAGAAGUCUACGCAACGAGCACUGUCUGGAUCUGAAUCCUGGUUGUAUUUAGACUCCAGCUCCAGGUUCUGCGUUGCUUUACCUAGAUGUCACAAUCAGAGUUAGAGUCAGGUAAAAUAACAGGGUCAAUUUUACUGUUUACGCGACAGUUGUAUGCUAAUCACGUCAAGGUGAAAUACAGUUAUACCUCACCCUACGUCAGUAAUUGGUUCCAGAAGGCACAACUUCGACAAACGACUUGAUACGAAAAACCCCUAUUGGCUCGAAACACCAAUUAAAAAAAGACAAUACUUUUACAUUUAUAAGCUUUUAUUUGAUUGCAAACAUUAAAAUAUAUUAGUUUACAUAUUUUAGCAUUCCCUGGCUGACGUAAGGUUGAAACCGAAAGAAGACGAUUUGUAUUUUUCUGUAUUUUUUGCAAAAAAAGUCGAGUUCGACGUAACGCGAAUGACGUAUGACGACGUAUGACGUAAUACCGUAGGCCUAUCGCUGUUUCGAAAUCAUGGAUCCCCAAUUAGUCAAAGAAAUAUUUGACUUAUUAAUUAAAGGAGAAUAUCCGAAAAAUUUCAGCAAGCAUCAGAGAUACAGCUUACGAAGAAGAUCUUCUAAUUUCUCCAUAAUCGAUGGAGACUUGUACUACACCAGAAACAAGGGCUCUGACGAAGAAGUCAGGGCCAAAGUUGUUCGUGGCGCAGAAGAGGCUGAUGAACUUUUCAUACAGUUCCACAGCAGUGGCAUUGGAGCACACUGUGGGCAAUUAAAAACUAGGGAUGCCAUAUCCCAGCGUUUUUACUGGCCUGGAAUGUCCAGAGACAUUGAACGAUGGGUGUCACAGUGUACAGUUUGCCAGAAAAACAAAGGCACACUAAAAACUGAAACGCAAUACACACCAAUCAAG